rnacentral:rRNA from 1 species
UACGUAGGUGACAAGCGUUUGUCCGGGAUUUACUGGGCGUAAAGAGCGCGCAGGCGGUCGAUCAAGUCGCGUGUGAAAGCCCCCGGCUCAACUGGGGAGGGUCACGCGAUACUGAUCGACUCGAAGGCAGGAGAGGGUAGUGGAAUUCCCGGUGUAGUGGUGAAAUGCGUAGGAUAUCGGGAGGAACACCAGUGGCGAAGGCGACUACCUGGCCUGUUCUUGACGCUGAGGCGCGAAAGCUAGGGGAGCA